rnacentral:rRNA from 1 species
CCCUUAGAUGAUUUGGGCUGCACGCGCGCUACACUGACCCUAACAAUGAGCAACUGUCUGGCCUGAGAUGGCUGGGUAGCCAUUUCAACCCAUGUCAUGAUUGGGCUAGAUUUUUGUAAGUCUUGAUCUCUAACGAGGAAUCCCUAGUAUGCGUGAAUCAUCAAUCCAUGCAGAUUAUGUCCCUGCCCUUUGUACACACCGCCCGUCGCUCCUACUGAUUGGGUGAUCCGGUGAGCUGUUCGGCCAUAGCAAUGUUUCUUGAGCAGGGCAAUGAAUGUUUCGCAAACCUUGCCACUUAGAGGAAGGAGAAGUCGUAACA